CGAAGGGGCUAGCGUUGUUCGGAUUUACUGGGCGUAAAGCGCACGUAGGCGGACUUUAAGUCAGGGUGAAAUCCCGGGCUCAACCCCGGAACUGCCUUUGAUACUGGAAGUCUUGAGUAUGGUAGAGGUGAGUGGAAUUGCGAGUGUAGAGGUGAAAUUCGUAGAUAUUCGCAGGAACACCAGUGGCGAAGGCGGCUCACUGGACCAUUACUGACGCUGAGGUGCGAAAGCGUGGGGAGCAAACAGGAUU
rnacentral:rRNA from 1 species